UACAGAGGGUGCAAGCGUUGUUCGGAAUUAUUGGGCGUAAAGAGCUCGUAGGCGGUCUGUCGCGUCGGCUGUGAAAACCCGGGGCUCAACCCCGGGCCUGCAGUCGAUACGGCAGACUAGAGUGCGGUAGGGGAGACUGGAAUUCCUGGUGUAGCGGUGAAAUGCGCAGAUAUCAGGAGGAACACCGGUGGCGAAGGCGGGUCUCUGGGCCGUAACUGACGCUGAGGAGCGAAAGCGUGGGGAGCGAACAGG
rnacentral:rRNA from 1 species